rnacentral:rRNA from 1 species
UACAGGGGGGGCAAGCGUUGUUCGGAAUUACUGGGCGUAAAGGGCUCGUAGGCGGCCAACUAAGUCACACGUGAAAUCCCCAGGCUUAACCUGGGAACUGCGUGUGAUACUGGAUGGCUUGAAUUCGGGAGAGGGAUGCAGAAUUCCAGGUGUAGCGGUGAAAUGCGUAGAUAUCUGGAGGAACACCGGUGGCGAAGGCGGCAUCCUGGACCAACACUGACGCUGAGGAGCGAAAGCCAGGGGAGCAAACGGG